rnacentral:misc_RNA from 1 species
AACGCAUAUUGCACCCCCUGGUAUUCCGGGGGGUACACCUGUUCGAGCGCCAUUUCAUUCUUCAAGUUUGACUUGGUGUUGGGGGGUCAUCCGGUGGGAUACCCCCGAAACUUUUAGGCCGUCCCCAGUAAUUUAGGGCGUCACGAAAUCAAAUCGGCGCCAAAAAUGAUCGGGGGUGCGUUUAAAAUUGGUGGGAAAUGUCACUUUUUUGGAAUCACCAACUAAAAAUUACUUGGAAACUCACUUAUAUUAGUGGGGGUCCCCUAAUUUUUAUUUGUGACCCCCAAAAAUAGAGGGUACCACCUAAAUUUGGAAGGUGUCACUAUCAUUUUUAGUGGGAAACUUGUUUAUUUUAGCGAGUCCCCCCUAAUUUUUAUAUGAUACCCCUUAAAUUUAGUGGUCACCCCCUAAGUUUUGAGUUUGUUUAAUGGGUAACCCCCUAAAAUGUCCUCAAAAUUAGUGUGUUACCCCCUAAUUUUCUCAGUUUUGGCCUCGGAUCAGGUGGGGAUACCCGCUGAACUUAA